GAUGAACGCUAGCUACAGGCUUAACACAUGCAAGUCGCAGGGUAACAUGAGGAAAGCUUGCUUUCCUUGAUGACGACUGGCGCACGGGUGAGUAACGCGUAUCCAACCUUCCCAUAACUACGGGAUAACCCGUUGAAAGACGGCCUAAUACCGUAUGAUAUCGUUUGCUGACAUCAAAUAACGAUUAAAGGUUUAGCGGUUAUGGAUGGGGAUGCGUCUGAUUAGCUUGUUGGCGGGGUAACGGCCCACCAAGGCGACGAUCAGUAGGGGUUCUGAGAGGAAGGUCCCCCACAUUGGAACUGAGACACGGUCCAAACUCCUACGGGAGGCAGCAGUGAGGAAUAUUGGUCAAUGGGCGAGAGCCUGAACCAGCCAAGUAGCGUGCAGGAUGACGGCCCUAUGGGUUGUAAACUGCUUUUAUGUGGGGAUAAAGUGCGUGACGUGUCAUGCAUUGCAGGUACCACAUGAAUAAGGACCGGCUAAUUCCGUGCCAGCAGCCGCGGUAAUACGGAAGGUCCGGGCGUUAUCCGGAUUUAUUGGGUUUAAAGGGAGCGUAGGCUGUCUAUUAAGCGUGUUGUGAAAUUUACCGGCUCAACCGGUGGCUUGCAGCGCGAACUGGUCGACUUGAGUAUGCAGGAAGUAGGCGGAAUUCAUGGUGUAGCGGUGAAAUGCUUAGAUAUCAUGACGAACUCCGAUUGCGCAGGCAGCUUACUGUAGCAUAACUGACGCUGAUGCUCGAAAGUGCGGGUAUCAAACAGG
rnacentral:rRNA from 1 species